rnacentral:rRNA from 1 species
AGUCGAACGGUAACAGAACUAGCUUGCUAGUUGCUGACGAGUGGCGGACGGGUGAGUAAUACUUAGGGAUCUGCCUCUGUGUGGGGGAUAACUAUUGGAAACGAUAGCUAAUACCGCAUAACGUCUACGGACCAAAGAGGGCUUCGGCUCUCGCGCAGAGAGGAACCUAAGCGAGAUUAGCUUGUUGGUGAGGUAAAGGCUCACCAAGGCGACGAUCUCUAGCUGUUCUGAGAGGAAGAUCAGCCACACUGGAACUGAGACACGGUCCAGACUCCUACGGGAGGCAGCAGUGGGGAAUAUUGCACAAUGGGGGCAACCCUGAUGCAGCCAUGCCGCGUGUGUGAAGAAGGCCUUCGGGUUGUAAAGCACUUUCAGUUGUGAGGAAAGGUUAGUAGUUAAUACCUGCUAGCUGUGACGUUAACAACAGAAGGAGCACCGGCUAACUCCGUGCCAGCAGCCGCGGUAAUACGGAGGGUGCGAGCGUUAAUCGGAAUUACUGGGCGUAAAGCGCACGC